AUGGGUAGAAAGGUUUACGCUUUGGUGUUUGGAAAUUCGCUUCUUUCAUUCUACUCUAUGUUUGGUGAAACGGAAACUGCAAGGUUUCUGUUUGAUAAAAUGCCUGUGAGGGACUUAACUUCUUGGAACACUGUGAUAUCUGGGUAUGUUAAGAAUAAUCAAUCAGGGAAUACUUUGGUGGUUUUUGAUAGAAUGAGAAGAUGUAUGGUGUUGUUGGAGAUGGGAUUACUUUGCUUGCUCUUUUUGUCUGUUUGA